AUGACCUGGGCUCUUCUCCUGCUCAGCCUCCUCAGUCAGGGCCCAGGAACUUGGGCACAGAAUGUCCUGACUCAGCCUCCCUCAGUGUCUGGGACUCCAGGACACACAGUCACCAUCUCCUGUACAGGAACCAGCAAUGACAUUGGGGCAUAUAACUAUGUCUACUGGUUCCAGCAGCAGGAGGGCACAGCUCCCAAAACCCUGAUAUAUAAUGUCAAUAAUCGGCCGUCAGGGAUCCCUGAUCGCUUCUCUGGCUCCAAGUCUGGCAACACAGCGACCCUGACCAUCUCUGGGCUCAAGCCUGAGGACGAGGCUGAUUAUCACUGUAGCUCAUAUACAAGAAGUAGCACUUUCCACAGUAGCUGCUGUACACAGGGAAGUUUAUGUGCUCACCCAGUGCUGACCCAGAACCCCUUUGCAACUGCCUCACUGGGAGCCUCCAUCCAAUUUACCAGCAGCAGGGGGCACAGUGACUUCACUAUUAAGUGGUAUCAGCAGAGUGCAGGAAAGGCCCCUGUCUCUGUGAUGUAUGGUAGGGGUGAUGGAAGCCACAAGGAAUGGCAUGAUAUUCCUGAUUGCUUUUCAACUCCAGAUCAGAGGAUGACCGCUACUUAA